GAUGAACGCUAGCGGCAGGCCUAAUACAUGCAAGUCGAACGGUGUAGCAAUACAUAGUGGCGCACGGGUGCGUAACACGUAUGCAACCUACCUUAUACUUAGGGAUAGCCUUUGGAAACGGAGAUUAAUACCUAAUGGUAUAUUUAGCUGGCAUCGGUUAGAUAUUAAAGAUUUAUUGGUAUAAGAUGGGCAUGCGUCCAAUUAGUUAGUUGGUGAGGUAAUGGCUCACCAAGACGAUGAUUGGUAGGGGAACUGAGAGGUUAAUCCCCCACACUGGCACUGAGAUACGGGCCAGACUCCUACGGGAGGCAGCAGUAGGGAAUAUUGGGCAAUGGAGGGAACUCUGACCCAGCCAUGCCGCGUGCAGGAUGAAGGCGUUAUGCGUUGUAAACUGCUUUUAUAUAGGAAGAAACAGACCUUGCGAGGUAGAUUGACGGUACUAUAUGAAUAAGCACCGGCUAACUCCGUGCCAGCAGCCGCCGUAACAC
rnacentral:rRNA from 1 species